GAAGGGUUCUAGAGUUAGGAUAUUUUGUAUGAAAGAGUGUGAAAGUUGCCACAUUGCAACACCACAAUGAUCAUGAGCACCUAUAAAUAGAGGUGAUUCCCUCCCUCCUACCCGUAUCAUGGCAUAGAGUGGCAUAUAAGCCAUAAGUGAAGAGAUGGCAAGAUUGUCAUGUAGUGUUAUGGUGUUAUGGUAGGGUAGCCACAUAAAGAGUGUAAGAGUGAGUAUUGUAUCAAGUUGUGAGCAGGUGAAUAAAAUAUUUGGGUUCUUCUGUAGAGAGUUGGUCUCCCGUGUUGGUGUUGGUGUGAAGGUCUUCUUA
rnacentral:lncRNA from 1 species